rnacentral:rRNA from 1 species
GGCCUAACACAUGCAAGUCGAGCGCUACCUUCGGGUGGAGCGGCGGACGGGUUAGUAACGCGUGGGAACGUACCCAGAUCUAAGGAAUAGCCACUGGAAACGGUGAGUAAUACCUUAUACGCCCUUCGGGGGAAAGAUUUAUCGGAUUUGGAUCGGCCCGCGUUAGAUUAGAUAGUUGGUGGGGUAAUGGCCUACCAAGUCUACGAUCUAUAGCUGGUUUUAGAGGAUGAUCAGCAACACUGGGACUGAGACACGGCCCAGACUCCUACGGGAGGCAGCAGUGGGGAAUCUUGGACAAUGGGCGCAAGCCUGAUCCAGCCAUGCCGCGUGAGUGAUGAAGGCCUUAGGGUCGUAAAGCUCUUUCGCCAGAGAUGAUAAUGACAGUAUCUGGUAAAGAAACCCCGGCUAACUCCGUGCCAGCAGCCGCGGUAAUACGGAGGGGGUUAGCGUUGUUCGGAAUUACUGGGCGUAAAGCGUACGUAGGCGGAUUAGUCAGUCAGAGGUGAAAUCCCAGGGCUCAACCCUGGAACUGCCUUUGAUACUGCUAGUCUUGAGUUCGAGAGAGGUGAGUGGAAUUCCAAGUGUAGAGGUGAAAUUCGUAGAUAUUUGGAGGAACACCAGUGGCGAAGGCGGCUCACUGGCUCGAUACUGACGCUGAGGUACGAAAGUGUGGGGAGCAAACAGGAUUAGAUACCCUGGUAGUCCACACCGUAAACGAUGAAUGCCAGUCGUCGGGCAGUAUACUGUUCGGUGACACACCUAACGGAUUAAGCAUUCCGCCUGGGGAGUACG